GGGCGAUUAGCUCAGCUGGUCAGAGCGCACGCCUGAUAAGCGUGAGGUCGGUGGUUCAAGUCCACCAUCGCCCACCA
rnacentral:tRNA from 19 species